rfam:Pteropus alecto contig84919, whole genome shotgun sequence.
GUCUAAUGCCAUGCCACCCUGAACGUUCCUGAUCUCAUCUGAUCUCAGAAGCUAAGCAGAGUCGAGCCUGGUUAGUACUUGGAUGGGAGACCACCUAGGAAGACCAGGUGUAGGCG